UGUUCCAAGGUUAACUUUCUGGUUAUCAAAUUCGGUGGUGCUGAGAGCAACUAUAAGCAAAUUCCAGCGGCAGCUGUGUUUGCCCCGUACUACUGAAACUAUUCUUGGAGAGGCUGUUUCCAAGGACAAGAAGAAGAUAUCUUCUCCACUUAAGUGGGAGACUUUUUCCAGCAAUGUUACAAAGGAUGAUUUUUGUGAAAGUUUUGGUAAUUGGGAGGACCCUCGUACAUUUACGAGAGCACUUCAGAGAACAGAGGCCUGGAUAUUCUCCCUUAUCGUUGAAUCUAUUUGGUGGCAGACUCUCACUCCACAUAUGCAAUCUGGUGCUGCAAAAGAAAUCCGCGAAAGUAUGAAUUCUUUGAUAAGCAAAGUUUAUAGAAGGACAGCAACUUCAGAUAAUGAAGAGCAUGGAAGUUAUUCUUCAGAGCUUUGGAAGAAAGCCUUCAAGGAUGCAUGUGAAAGAAUUUGCCCUGUUAGAGCUGGAGGGCACGAGUGUGGUUGUUUGCGUUUUCUAUCUAAACUGAUAAUGGAACAAUGUGUGGCUAGACUGGAUGUAGCUAUGUUCAAUGCAAUCCUUCGAGAGUCUGCUGAUGAGAUUCCUUCAGAUCCUAUAUCAGACCCCAUUAGUGAUGCCGAUGUUCUUCCUAUUCCAGCUGGACAGGCUAGUUUUGGGGCGGGGGCACAACUGAAAAAUACGGUUGGGAAUUGGUCCAGAUGGCUUACUGACCUUUUCGACAUUGAUGAUGGGGAAUCACUAAAAAAUAGUAAUGAAGAGAAUGGGAGUAAAGAACUUGACACCUCUGCAAAGUCUUUCUACCUUCUAAAUGCAUUGAGUGAUCUUAUGAUGCUUCCAAAGGAUAUGCUUUUAAGCAGGACAAUGAGAAAAGAGGUAUGUCCGGCACUUGGUCCUUUGCUAAUAAGAAGGGUUCUUAAUAUAUUUGUUCCAGAUGAGUUUUGUUGUGAUUCAAUACCUGAAGCGGUAUUUGAAGUUCUCUCAGAGGAACCUUCUGAGGCUGAGGGUGAUUCUGUUACAAACUAUCCGUGCACAGCAGCUCCUGUGGCUUAUAUGCCACCUCCAAUAGCUUCAGUAGCUGGUAUGUUGGGCGAUGGGUAUAGCUAUUCUAUGUUGACACGAAGUGCAUCUUCAGUGCUCAAAAAGUCAUACACAAGUGAUGAGGAACUUGAGCUAUUGGAUUCACCGUUGAAUUUUAUCAUUAGUGAUGGCACUGAAGCUUCACAUUCUUUAGUAAAACAGAGUUCCAUGCCAAAAAAUAGUGGAAGGCAGAGGUACCAACUCCUUCGGGAGGUUUGGAUUAACAGUGAGUAAAAUGAGUAGUUGUGGUGUUAACAGAUUUCUUGGUUUUCAUCUAAAGGAAGAUAGGGAUCGAUGAUGAGAGUAUGAUUUGUGGAUAUGAGAAGCACUUGUUAUGCAUCUUCACGUGUAGAUAUUGUAGGAGUUAGGUGUCUGUAGAAAUAUUUGAUAAACUUGAAUGGGAAAAGGUGUUGUUCUUUUUGUGAUUGAGUUAUUGCAGUUGUUCUACUGCUUCAUAAUGUAUAGUAGUUUCCAUAGUUACUUCACCAGUAUAAACUCAA
rnacentral:misc_RNA from 1 species